rnacentral:lncRNA from 1 species
UUCAAUCACAUAAAACUGCCUAAACUUUAAAAAUGUGCUUCAUAAUCAAUUAUCAAUGCACAUUCAGAUUAACGCAAACAUUACAAAUUAAACCAUAAAAUAUCAAAGAACUUAUACAGCAUUCAACAAGUUUCAUAAUACAAGUACACUUACCAGAUUAACUAAACUGAACAUAAAAUGCUUAACAUUAGCCUCCUAACAUCAUCAUAGAUCAUAUAUUGUCCAAACCUUCUACAUACUACAUCCUUCAACAAUUGAACUUAAAUUUGACUUCACUUAACAUCAGGAUCUGUACCAAUUUUGUAGACAUGACACUUCUUUUCCCAUGUUGCUACAUCCGAAUCAAACUUAAAACGCAGAAUAUCACCUUUGUAAAAAUCGUUGCAUUGACAAAAAUGAUUCCAGCAAUAACCCAAUUGAAUCUUAUAAGGAGAUCGCCUUCCUCUCACCUUCAAAUCAUACACCUCUCCAUCAUCUAAGCAAGCAGCCAGUGCAGACCAAUCAUUCUCCUUCAGAU